UUCUCUCUAUCUCCGAAAAAACUUUCUUUCUUCAUUUCAUUGUUUUUGUUACCCCAUUGCAUUACAUCAGAAAGUGUUCCUGAAGCCAUAUCCUCUGUGAAAGUUCUUGAGUAAGCUGGUCAGCGUAAAGGACGUCUUCUAUUCUCGACAUCACGGUGUGAGCCAAACUCUCAAGCACUCUUGAGUAACUCUCCAAGAUUGCAAGUCCUACAUCCUGAAACAACCAAAAUCCAAUAAUGAGAUUUUCUUAUGACCAAAAGGAAAACAGAACCAAAAUGUAUUUGGAAGUUAGAGUUUUUACUUACUCUGUUGAAUUGAAUCUUGCUGAUAUCGAGCGAGGACUGUGAGAUUCCGGGAAACCCUUGUUUCAAUAGUAGCAAGAUUGUUUCAGCUCUCUCUUCAAACUGUUCUCUUUUCUCAA